rnacentral:tRNA from 1 species
CUAAGGAAAAACGGAAGCCAUUGGUCGUCAUGUUUAGUUUUGAGAGGUCUUGUGGGGCCUUAGCUCAGCUGGGAGAGCGCCUGCUUUGCACGCAGGAGGUCAGCGGUUCGAUCCCGCUAGGCUCCAUUAGAAUAGUGAUGACUAUUCUAAACUUGUCCAUUGAAAAUUGAAUAACUAUAUCAAAUAGUAACAAGAAAAUAAACCGAAACGCUGUGAAUAUUAAUGAGUUUAAGACUGAAAGGUCAAAAAUAA